rnacentral:rRNA from 1 species
UACGGAGGGUGCAAACGUUGCUCGGAAUCAUUGGGCGUAAAGCGCACGUAGGCGGCCUGUCAAGUCGGAUGUGGAAGCCCCGGGCUCAACCCGGGAAGUGCAUUCGAAACUGUCAGGCUUGAAUAUGGAAGAGGGUCGCGGAAUUCCCGGUGUAGAGGUGAAAUUCGUAGAUAUCGGGAGGAACACCAGUGGCGAAGGCGGCGACCUGGGCCAAUAUUGACGCUGAGGUGCGAAAGCGUGGGGAGCAAACAG